rnacentral:rRNA from 1 species
AGUUUGAUCCUGGCUCAGGAUGAACGCUAGCUACAGGCUUAACACAUGCAAGUCGAGGGGAAACGACAUCGAAAGCUUGCUUUUGAUGGGCGUCGACCGGCGCACGGGUGAGUAACGCGUAUCCAACCUGCCCACCACUUGGGGAUAACCUUGCGAAAGUAAGACUAAUACCCAAUGACGUCUCUAGAAGACAUCUGAAGGAGAUUAAAGAUUUAUCGGUGAUGGAUGGGGAUGCGUCUGAUUAGCUUGUUGGCGGGGUAACGGCCCACCAAGGCGACGAUCAGUAGGGGCUCUGAGAGGAAGGUCCCCCACAUUGGAACUGAGACACGGUCCAAACUCCUACGGGAGGCAGCAGUGAGGAAUAUUGGUCAAUGGACGAGAGUCUGAACCAGCCAAGUAGCGUGCAGGAUGACGGCCCUAUGGGUUGUAAACUGCUUUUAUAAGGGAAUAAAGUGAGUCUCGUGAGACUUUUUGCAUGUACCUUAUGAAUAAGGACCGGCUAAUUCCGUGCCAGCAGCCGCGGUAAUACGGAAGGUCCGGGCGUUAUCCGGAUUUAUUGGGUUUAAAGGGAGCGUAGGCCGGAGAUUAAGCGUGUUGUGAAAUGUAGACGCUCAACGUCUGCACUGCAGCGCGAACUGGUUUCCUUGAGUACGCACAAAGUGGGCGGAAUUCGUGGUGUAGCGGUGAAAUGCUUAGAUAUCACGAAGAACUCCGAUUGCGAAGGCAGCUCACUGGAGCGCAACUGACGCUGAAGCUCGAAAGUGCGGGUAUCGAACAGGAUUAGAUACCCUGGUAGUCCGCACGGUAAACGAUGGAUGCCCGCUGUUGGUCUGAAUAGGUCAGCGGCCAAGCGAAAGCAUUAAGCAUCCCACCUGGGGAGUACGCCGGCAACGGUGAAACUCAAAGGAAUUGACG